ensembl:lncRNA
AGAAACAGCACCACUCGCGUUCCACCUACCUGGCAAUGUCUGUCCUUUCCAAUUUCUAUUCUGUCCUUUUCAUUAGCCUCUUUCUUUCCCUUUUCACUUUCCUAUAAACUUCAGUCAGCAUCCACAAGGGGAAGAGACAAGAACAAGGUAUGUUUCCCACUGCCCUCUGUGCCCAGAAAGAACUCAGACAAAGGCACUUCUACCAAAGAUUUACUCCACAGAUGCUCCUUGGAUCUUGUCAUGGAAUUAGGAUUAAAUAUUGGGAGGUAUAUCAGAUGUGCUCGGUUAAACAUUAGCAAUUUUUAAAAGUUGAGGCAUUUCUCAAACUUUUACACAGGCUAAUAUGAAUUGUGAAUUUCCAGGAAGAAAGAUAACAAAUACAAGUUUCUGAAACUUAUGUGAUAGCACAUUCCUCUUUUUUAAAAUGGAGCAUCUUAUAGUGUUCUGUGCAACAUAUUUUGGGAAGCACUGAUCUGGCAUAUUCUAAAUGCUCCCUGGAAUUCUAUAUUCUUGAUACUUUAAAAUUAAAUCUCCUUGCUUUGGGAUCAAACAACGGAUCUUCUGAUGGCUAAAAAGAACACAAUCUUACAAAAGAACAGAAAGCAUAGCCUAGGUAGUGUGCUUUCUUGAAAAUUAUUAAAACACACAGUGCUAUAUGUUACUGAUGUAAUAAAUGAGAUGAACUCAAUGGAAAUACACACAUCAAAAACCUUUUACUUCCUUAAUCAUGUCUUCAAAGGCAAGAGUAGUGUGACUUGCCCACCUCUAAAUAUGUCUCGUGUUUACCCCAUAGCUUUUCAGGUACUUUUAGUUAGAAAAUAGUAUCAUUUAGGGUAGUUAAGACUAUAUAUAUAUUGCUUUGUCUUUAAUGCUGCUUCCGUAUUCCUUGUAACUGUUGGCGUUUUCCAUGAGGGGUGUCUACAUGCUGGUCUUUUGUCUGGUGCAUUGAUGGAGCCUUUGGAGGCUGCACUGGACCACCACGCUGUACCCAGUAAGGGCAAUUCACUUUUUAGCUAAUCUCCUGUAUCUACGCCUAUUGCUUCUACUGCUAGUGAUGAAUCCAAGGUCUCGUACUGCUGGCCAGAGUACUUUCAAGAUGGCCCAAGCUCAUUUAACUUCCGAAGCAUCCACUUGGUUCUCAAGAAAUUCCUGAGUCCUUGUGGGGCAAUCUGUUUUUGCCUUGCCAUCACGUGCUGCUCCAGCCAGACUCCUACCUUCAGGAUUCUCCAGAUGAGAGGCAGAUCCAGUGUUUGUGACUGUUCCCCAAAGCCUAGCCAGAUCUUCCCACUGCCAAACCCAUCCAACCUUCACCGGUCUGGUCCAUUCUUCCUCUUUCGGACUCCUAUCAAGGAACACCUCCUUCUCUAAGUCUAAUAUUAUUCUCCCAAGAAGAGUUAGUUGCUGGAUAAUUUUUGCCUCACCGUGCAUGGCUUUCUCCUCUUCGUGGAAUCUGCCACACUGUUUUGUAUUCUUCGAAUUCUGAAGCUACAAGGGACAGGAGGCCAUAAAACCAAAAAGAAGGCCUCUGGAAAGCAAAGCAAGGCAUUUCUUCAGCCUCAAGGUACUGAUGUGGGUAGAUUCAGGACCCACCAGGACCCACCCAGUAGGAGGCCCCUGUGGAUGCACCAAUUUCAAGUAUGAAACUCUGUAGGCUUACACCCUAGUAGCAGAGGUGAACUAGCCAUGAACCAAACCUUACGAGAUUCACUGCCCUGUUCUGAUUCAGUUUAGUCCUAGAGGACAGGAUGAACCUUUUCAGAAGGAAAAUAAUAUAUGGAGACUAUGUAUAUAUUUUUACAGAUAAUACCUGACACUCAAUAAAAUGUUAAUAGGCGUGCCAAGAUACAGGGCAAUAACCUGAAAGAUAAGAUUGAACAAAAAAGAGUUUCACAAGUGAUUCAGAUAUUGGAGUUAGCAGAACAAAGACUUUAAAAUAACUAGAACUAACAUGCCUCCCAAAUAGAGGCAAAUAUGGGCAAACUAGGUGGGAGAUGGAGAACCUCACCAAAGUAUUGAAAUAUAUUUUAAAAAACUAACUAGAAAUUCUAGAAUUGAAAAAUAGAAUAACUGAGAUGAAAAAAUCAGCAAUAGAUAGUUUUAAAAAAGGCUGGACGCAACAGAAGAAAGGAUUAGUAAAGGUAGAUCAAUAGAAACUACACUGAAGCUCAGGAAGAAAAAGUGGAAAAUACAGGAAAAACACAAGGGACAUGAAGAUCUAGUGAUAAAGUUUUAUAUACAUGAAAUAGAAAUUCCAGAAGGAAAAGAUAGAGGUAAUGGGGCAGGAGAAUGUUUGAAGAAUUAAAAAACAUAGCAAGGAAAGAAAAUUACAGUGCAAUUUCUCCCUCAAAAUUUGUUAAGCUGAAGAGUUAUGAUUUGUACACUUUUCUGUAUAUAUGUUACCCUUGAAUAAAAAAUUUAAAAAGGCCAAAUACGUGUCUGACUCCAGCAAACUUUGAUAUUUUAUUCUGUUGACGUAUAUGUUAUCUACAAUAUUGAAAUUCUUGCCAUUCUAGCAUUUAACAGAGGAACUAAAACAGAACAGC